CUUCGGGGCAGGAAGACAGGUGGUGCAUGGUUGUCGUCAGCUCGUGUCGAGAGAUGUUGGGAUAAGUCCCGCAACGAGCGCAACCCUUAUCAUUAGCUGCUACCAUUAAGUUGAGCACUCUAGUGAGACUGCCACGGUUAACGUGGAGGAAGGUGGGGAUGACGUCAAAUCAUCAUGCCCCUUAUGUCUAGGGCUACACACGUGCUACAAUGGUGAAUACAAAUAGAUGCAAUACCGCGAGGUGGAGCCAAACUAUAAAAUUCAUCCCAGUUCGGAUUGUAGUCUGAAACUCGACUACAUGAAGCCGGAGUUGCUAGUAAUCGCGAAUCGGCAUGUCGCGGUGAAUACGUUCCCGGGCCU
rnacentral:rRNA from 1 species